rnacentral:rRNA from 1 species
GAUGAACGCUAGCGGCAGGCUUAAUACAUGCAAGUCGAGGGGCAGCAGGGUGUAGCAAUACAUCGCUGGCGACCGGCAAACGGGUGCGGAACACGUACACAACUUUCCUUUAAGUGGGGGAGUAGCCCAGAGAAAUUUAGGUAUUAAUACCCCGUAAAACUUAAUGAAGUGGCAUCAUUUUAUAAUUAAAGCUCCGGCGCUUGAAGAUGGGUGUGCGGCUGAUUAGGUAGUUGGCGGGGAACGG